rnacentral:misc_RNA from 1 species
AAGUCGUAACAAGGUUUCCGUAGGUGAACCUGCGGAAGGAUCAUUACCAAUAUAGCGGACCGAGCGUUAGCGAGGCUUCGCGAUCAAUUUGUAUUUAAAACCCAACUCUUUAAUGUAUAUUAUUAUUGUAUUUUAAAUAAUAAAAAGAUCACUUUCAACAACGGAUCUCUUGGCUCUC